rnacentral:tRNA from 1 species
GUCUGGGGGGCUCAGUCGGUUAAGCGUCUGACUUCGGCUCAGGUCACGAUCUCACGGUGUGCGGGUUCGAGCCCCGCGUCGGGCU